rnacentral:rRNA from 1 species
CCUACGGGGUGCUGCAGUGAGGAAUAUUGGUCAAUGGACGAGAGUCUGAACCAGCCAAGUAGCGUGAAGGAUGACUGCCCUAUGGGUUGUAAACUUCUUUUAUAUGGGAAUAAAAUGUUCCACGUGUGGGAUUUUGUAUGUACCAUAUGAAUAAGGAUCGGCUAACUCCGUGCCAGCAGCCGCGGUAAUACGGAGGAUCCGAGCGUUAUCCGGAUUUAUUGGGUUUAAAGGGAGCGUAGGUGGAUUGUUAAGUCAGUUGUGAAAGUUUGCGGCUCAACCGUAAUAUUGCAGUUGAAACUGGCAGUCUUGAGUACAGUAGAGGUGGGCGGAAUUCGUGGUGUAGCGGUGAAAUGCUUAGAUAUCACGAAGAACUCCGAUUGCGAAGGCAGUUCACUGGACUGCAACUGACACUGAGGCUCGAAAGUGUGGGUAUCAAACAGGAUUAGAUACCCUUGUAGUC